GCUAUGAGAUAACGCAGAAAAUUAAUCAAAAGACGCCAAAACUGACGUUUUUACGAUUUGAGGAGCAUAAUGUCGACGUGUACAGUGUGCAGUCUCACUGUCAAUUCCCCGGAACAGCUGCAGCAGCAUAUGAAAGGAAAAGCACACAAGAAGAAGAUGAUGGCUGCAGGACUGCCUGUGGAGGCUUUGCAAGAUUGUGAUAUAUAUGACUCAACAAGACUUUGAUCGUGCCAUUCCUGCAACAUUCUGGUGCCAGUGACAAGUUCCAUAUGGCAGUUGAAGACACAGCAUCAAGAGUGUGCACAA